UUUUCUUAUUUCUCUUUCUCCUUCUCUUCUAUUUUUCUUCUUCUCCUUCCUUUUCUUCUUCUGUUAGAAUUUGAGAGUUGAGAUUAAUUUUGUGUGAUUCAAUUCACAAAGGCUUAGCAGUUAGUUGUAACGAUUAAGAAGGAGAUGGUGUUGAUGCAACUAUCAAAUUCAGAAUUUACUGAAUAAGGGGUUUGUUUCCAAUUGAACUAUGUUGGAGGUAUUAUGUUUAAUGUAAGUUUCUUCAGGAAUCAAGAAUUAGGGUUCUUAAGAAAUAAGGGUUUUGGCCAAUUGAAGAUGAAGAUUUGGGGUUUUCCUGUUGAUUUGAGUUACAAGAAGAAGAGUGGGAUGUUGUUGGAGAAGUUAGGAUUCUAGGUUGAUUUACAUGAGGUGGAGAUGAGUUGAAGUGAUGAUGUUAAACUUGCCUGUGUUUGGAUGGUGCAAGAACAAUCUGGUGAUGGUGGCAGUUAGAUGAAUGAGUGGUAUUGGUAGUUUUAUUGAGUCGCAGAUGAAGCUACUGAGUUGCCAAGAACUCAAUUGGAUUGGUGGUAAUAUAAUUAGUUGUUCUGGUGAAGAUAAUGGUAAUGAAAUUGUAGUAUAAAGAUGUUUUAAGCUGGGAGUACAGGUGGUGGUUGGUUAUUAAAAAACUGAACUUGGGGUGGUGAUUUCCUGGAACUUGAAUCACUGGUUAUAGUGGUGCUGGUAUAUAGAUUUGAGGAUAGCCUCAGUUGAGAUAGUUUGAAUUGAAGUUGAAAUGAAUGGUGAUGGGGUAUGGUGUGAAAGAAGUGUUUGCAUGUAAUGGUAGUGUUAUAUUGCAGAUGUAAAUAACUGAAUUGGUGAUGCGGUUAUCUUGUCUAGGAGGUGAUGUACCAUAUGGAUAGUGGUAGUUAGAGAUGGUGGUAUUAUUGAUGCUGUGGAAGUUGUUGAAUUGCAGGUGUUGAAGUUAUUCUUGUCAAAUAAAAGAGAUAUGGGUGCUGGUUGUGGUAUAAUGCAGUUGUAGGGUUAAGUUGAUGCAAUUGUAUAGUGGCUGUGUGGCAACUAAAGCUAAAGGAACUGGUCUUGAGAUGAAAUUACAUGAAGGAAAGAUGUGGUACAUCUAAAGAAUGAGUUGAAGUUCUGAUGGUAUGUGGUUGAUCAGGUUGUGGUUGAAAUGCAAAUGAGUUUAGAGAUGGAGUAUUGGGGUCAUUGCAAUGAUGGAAGUUUUUAGAAUUGAAGUUAUAGGAACUUGGAAAGUGUUAUUGGAAAAAAAGGGAGAAGUAGUAAUUCAGGAAAUGAUGUUUGUUUAGAACUAGAAUUGGAAAUGAUGAAGGUCUGAGGUUGAAACAGAUUGUAGAUAGAACUGAAUGAGAGAUUAAGGUUGAUUGUAGAAAUAUGUUAAAAUGAAUAAUUUGUGUAAUGAUCAAUUGAAUAGAAUCAGGUUAGAUCUUGAAAAAUUAUGCGAAAUGGACUACACGAACAUGUCAUCCGGAUACCAGACGAAGAAGAUAUCUUCAAAUAUGUACGAAGGGUAAAAGUUAUCAUUUUACCUUGUAACUGUUUGGCUGCCCUUAUCAUUUGUUUGGGUGCCUUUAGUAAUUUCGUCAGCCUUAUCUCAAUCGAGUAGAUAAACUCGUAUUUCACUUCCUUCUUUUUUCUUAUUUUCUUAAUUCUCUUUCUCUUUCUCUUCUAUUUUUCUUCUUCUCCUUCCUUUUCUUCUUCUGUUAGAAUUCGAGAGUUGAGAUUAAUCCUGUGUGAUUCAAUUCACAAAGGCUUAGUAGUUAGGUGUAACGAUUAAGAAGGAGAUGGUGUUGAUGCAACUAUCGAAUUCAUAAUUCACUGAAUAAGGUAAAUCGAUGAUUAAAUUUAGGGUUCCUGUUUGAUUGAAUUUCUUUAUGAAAUUGUUGUUGUUUGAUUAAAUUAUUACAGGGGUUUGUUUCUAAUUGAACUGUAGUUGGAGGUAUUAGGUUUAAUGUAAGUUUCUUUAGGAAUCAGGAUUUAGGGUUCUUGUGAAAUAAGCGUUUUGGUCAAUUGAAGAUGAAGAUUUGGGGUUUUCCUGUUGAUUUGAUUUACAAAAAGAAGAGUUGGAUGUUGUUGGAGAAGUUAGGAUUCUAGGUUGAUUUACAUGAGGUGGAGAUGAGUUGAAGUGAUGAUGUUGAACUGGUCUGUGUUGGGAUGGUGCAAAAACAAUCUAGUGAUGGUGGCAGUUAGAUGAAUGAGUGGGAUUGGUAGUUUUAUUGAGUUGCAGAUGAAGCUACUGAGUUGCCAAGAACUCAACUGGAUUGGUGGUAAUAUAAUUGGUUGUUCUGGUGAAGGUAGUAAUGAAAUUGUAGUAUAAAGAUGUUUGAAGUUGGGAGUAUAGGUGGUGGUUGGUUAUUAAAAAUCUGAACUUAGGGUGGUGAUUGCCUGGAACUUGAAUCACUGGUUAUAGUGGUGCUGGUAUAUAGAUUUGAGGAUAGCCUCAGUUGAGAUAGUUUGAAUUGAAGUUGAAAUGAAUUGUGAUGGGGUAUGCUGUGAAAUAAGUGUUGCAUGUAAUGGUCGUGUUAUAUUGCAGAUGUAGAUAACUGAAUUGAUGAUGCGGGUUAUCUUGUCUAGGAGGUGAUGUACCAUAUGGAUAGUGGUAGUUAGAGAUGGUGGUAUUAUUGAUGCUGUGGAAGUUGUUGAAUUGCAGGUGUUGAAGUUAUUCUUGGUAAAUCAAAGAGAUGGGUGCUGGUUGUGGUAUAAUGCGGUUGUAGGGUUAAGUUGAUGCAAUUGUAUAGUGGCUGUGUGGAAACUAAAGCUUAUGGAACUGGUCUUGAGAUGAAAUUACAUGAAGAAAAGAUGUGGUACAGCUAAAGAAUGAGUUGAAGUUCUUGUGGUAUGCGGUUGAUCAUGUUGUGGUUGAAAUGCAAAUGAGUUUAGAGAUGGAGUAUUGGGGUCAUUGCAAUGACGAAGUUUUUAGAAUUGAAGUUAUGGGAACUUGGAAAGUGUUGUUGGAAAAAAAGGGAGAAGUAAUAAUUCAAGAAAUGAUGUUUGUUUAGAACUAGAUUGGAAAUGAUGAAGGUUUGAGGUUGAAACAGAUUGUAGAUAGAACUUAAUGAGAGAUUAAGGUUGAUUGUCGAAAUAUGUUAAAAUGAAUAAUUUAUGUAAUGAUUAAUUGAAUAGAAUCAGUUUGGUUGUGUUCUUGAGACUUAGACCUGUUAGUCAUCCCAAUCAGUUUAGCUGACUCGGUUUGUUUA